AGAGUGAACGCUGGCGGCAGGCCUAACACAUGCAAGUCGAACGGCAGCACAGGGGAGCUUGCUCCCUGGGUGGCGAGUGGCGGACGGGUGAGGAAUGCGUCGGAAUCUGCCUUUUCGUGGGGGAUAACGUAGGGAAACUUACGCUAAUACCGCAUGCGACCCUGUUCCGGGAGUUCAGGGUGAAAGCGGGGGACCUUCGGGCCUCGCGCGGAAAGAUGAGCCGACGCCGGAUUAGCUAGUUGGCGGGGUAACGGCCCACCAAGGCGACGAUCCGUAGCUGGUCUGAGAGGAUGAUCAGCCACACUGGAACUGAGACACGGUCCAGACUCCUACGGGAGGCAGCAGUGGGGAAUAUUGGACAAGUGGGCGCAAGCCUGAUCCAGCCAUGCCGCGUGAGUGAAGAGGCCUUCGGUGUAAGCUUACGUUUGUUAGGAAAGUAAAGUCGUUUACGGUAAUAACCGGAGUUCGUAGACGGUAACCCAAAGAAUAACGACACCGGAC
rnacentral:rRNA from 1 species